rnacentral:rRNA from 1 species
AACGAACGCUGGCGGCAUGCCUAACACAUGCAAGUCGAACGAGACCUUCGGGUCUAGUGGCGCACGGGUGCGUAACGCGUGGGAAUCUGCCCUUGGGUUCGGAAUAACAGUUAGAAAUGACUGCUAAUACCGGAUGAUGUCUUCGGACCAAAGGUUUAUCGCCCAGGGAUGAGCCCGCGUCGGAUUAGCUAGUUGGUAGGGUAAAAGCCUACCAAGGCGACGAUCCGUAGCUGGUCUGAGAGGAUGAUCAGCCACACUGGGACUGAGACACGGCCCAGACUCCUACGGGAGGCAGCAGUGGGGAAUAUUGGACAAUGGGCGAAAGCCUGAUCCAGCAAUGCCGCGUGAGUGAUGAAGGCCUUAGGGUUGUAAAGCUCUUUUACCCGGGAUGAUAAUGACAGUACCGGGAGAAUAAGCCCCGGCUAACUCCGUGCCAGCCGCCGCCGUAA